AAGAUCGACCCUAGACACUAGGUUUGCAAACCCGGUCAGGUCUGGAAAGAAGCAGCCGUAGCAUUAUUCCUCGUGGGUUAGGUCGUCGGUCUUCCA
rnacentral:SRP_RNA from 2 species